UACGUAGGGGGCAAGCGUUGUCCGGAAUCAUUGGGCGUAAAGCGCGUGUAGGCGGCUCGGUAAGUCCGCUGUGAAAGUCCAGGGCUCAACCCUGGAAAGCCGGUGGAAACUGUCGAGCUCGAGUCCGGAAGAGGCGAGUGGAAUUCCUGGUGUAGCGGUGAAAUGCGCAGAUAUCAGGAGGAACACCAAUUGCGAAGGCAGCUCGCUGGGACGUUACUGACGCUGAGACGCGAAAGCGUGGGGAGCAAACAGG
rnacentral:rRNA from 1 species